AGAUCUCUCAAGAGUGAAUCAGAGUUUCAGUUCGCAAUCGGCAAAGUGAAAGUAUUGGUCCUGCGGCUUCUCUGUUAAGCAGCAAAAUAAUUCAAAUUAAGAUCUUUCUGUAGCGAUUUCACUUUGUGAACUGCAGGGAGGAUAUCUGUGGUCUCCGCUGGCAGCGGAUCAUGUUUAAUUGUCUCAGACUUCUCGUUGAAGUUUCCUUCAUGACGAUUUUGGAAGGUGCGUCAAUGAAGACCAACCACAUUUCUGAGUCAUACCCAGCCCCGGGAUAAAUCAACAACACGCAUCAUAGACUUUGCAGUCUUCAGCGCUGAGACUGCAGCUUAACGACCAGCUUCACAUGCAAACAAGCGCGUCAUAGGCAUGAACCCUGAGAGAGAGACAAAAACAUCAAGAGGAAAAGUGACAUCUAAAACCACAGUGUCAGCGACCUUUCUUCACCUCAGUGGCAGGAGACCAGGCCUUUAUUUGGGGUUAUUUUUGGAGACAUGGCUUUAUUUCUACAUGUAUCAUAUGAGCUGUUGUUGGUUACAAGUUAUUCCAACCCACUCAUUGUUUUUUUAACCUGACUUAUUUGAGACCAUUAUUUGAAUAUUGACUUUUAUAUGGGAAUAUACAGUAUGUUAAUUUUAAAAGAUCCUUCAUGCACUUGAAGGACUUUUUAAGACCAUUUUGAACAGUUGUGAAUGUGUUGUAUUUUAAAUAAACUAUGACCUGUUUUUUCACGCCAUCCAGAAAUAUACUGGCAAAUGUGCAUCUGUUGGAUUACAGUGAGGUCACCACAAAAAUUACAGUGACUGGCUGGCAACCCUAACCGCAGUGUAAUGUGACUUCCUUUACAGUAAGUUACACGUCAGUUGCUGCCAGUUAAUUACUGUAAAUCUCAGGCUACAUUCUUUACAGUGCAAACUUGUGAAAGUGAAAGCAGCUAGCUGCCUUCCCUGUCACAAGCCAGCUCCACAUAUGGCCAGCCACUUCUCCGCCUUCCACCUGUUGCUGCUCAUUAGUUACUGCUGUUGGCUGAUAGCUCUGAGCCCUUCGGCAUCUGACACGAGAAGCAGAGAGGACGGGAGGGGGCGGCCCAGGAAGAGAUGUGAUUGGGCCAGCCUAGUGUCAUUAUAGAAAAUUAAACAAUAGGCAGCUGCCCCUACUUUAUGGGCCGGUCUUUGGCAAUCAAAAAAUAUAUAUAUUGCCAACGACUGGCCCCCAAGGUGUGUUGGCCCACCGGGAAAAGACUGGUAUGCCAGAUUGCCAGUCCACUACUAGUGGAGUCCCCAUAAUAUAAAUGAGCCGGUCUCUGUUUUUCCAGACAGACUUGGACGAGACACGAGCAAGCUGCUUAUGUGACGGACAUUCACAGGAACAAGGAAACCACAGGUUGCACACGAAAAUCACCACUAAACUGCUGACUAAAUAAUCAGAAAUGGGGAACGAACAAUCACAUCCUUACACGAGAUGCUGCAAGUGCAAUAAAGUCCUGGUUCCAUGGACCCUGCCUCUAUUGACCCUGGCUUUAUUGUUAUACUUCAAGGAUGUUUACCGAAGUACUGUUCAUGGGCGGGACGUAUUUGUGUUCAAUGGAGGUGAAUUCUACAGACCAGUUGGCUCCGGUACGUACGAGUGUGAUUAUUGCUUUAAUAAGCCAAUCAGGGAUCAAGAGGAGAGACAGAGGAGAGAGGAGGAGAGGAGAAGAGAAGAAGAGCGACAGAGGAGAAAGGAGGAGAGACAGAG